CACGGACCCCAACGGAACACGGACCCAGACGGAACACGGACCCAGACGGAACACGGACCCAGACGGAACACGGACCCGGACAGGACACGGACCCUGAACGGAACACGGACCCAGACGGAACACGGACCCAGACGGGACACGGACCCCAGCGGAACACGGACCCAGACGGGACACGGACCCCAGCGGAACACGGACCCGGACAGGACACGGACCCUGAACGGAACAAGGACCUCAGACGAACACGGACCCUGAACAAAAAACGGACCUGGACGGGACACAGACCCUGAACGGAACACAAAACCCAGGUGGGACAAGGACCCGGAAGGGAGAAGGACCCGGACGACCCAGUGUGUGACCGGUCCAGCAGGACUGCCUUGUUCUGCUGCUUCAGAUUCGGGUCCUACGUGCCGCGUCUCACUGACUGUUCCCUCAUUUUCACCUGAAUCUAAACUGUUUUAGAAGAACUUGACCUCCUGGAAGGUUCCUGACCUUCUAGAACCUCCAUUGGUCCCUGUUGGUUCAUUGACGGUCCACCGGAGGUCAGCUGAGGUUCUGCCACAGGUUCCAGCUUCUUACUGCUUCAUGUAGUCUGUCACUGGUUGGCUCUAGUACACGCUGUUAGAACACGGAGGAACACGGAGGAACCCACAGAGACGUUCAGGAGAUGUUAGCAGGAGAACCAAACACUGGGGAGAAGCUGCUCACUGUUUACAAAGCUUUAACAUGGAGAACUGUAACCUUUGUGCAAUAAAAUAUCUCUGUGACAC